rnacentral:lncRNA from 1 species
CUGGAGUUCUUGCCAACAUUUCUCUCUAUUUAAUGCAUUCAGUUUUCACUUCUCCCAGUCUUCGUCAUUCUAUUUUGCUUACAUCCGUGUUUUCGACUUUACCCAGGUAUUUACUGCUCUCCUCUUUAAGUUCCUCAGUUGCUAGGUUUUUAACUCCUGGGAUACUGUGAUGAAGUCAUUGUUCUUUCAAGUUCUGGUUCCUAGGGCUCAUCUAGAUUAUUCCAGUUGAAGAACAUUCCUAGAGGGCUAGUGGGUUUCACUAUGCUGGUGUUUUGGUGAUGUCCCCUGGGCAGAUAAGCUGCUUUUCCUGUCUGCCUGAUGUGAGUGGCUGAGCCAGUGUAGGAGCUGUGCACCAGGAGCCUAAAAACCACCCAUCCAGGGCAGUAGUCACCUCUUCACGGGCACGUCGCCGGUCUGCUCGUCCACGUAAUCCCGCUUCAGCUCCUCAGGGACGUCGCUGUCACUGUCAUAGUCCUGAUAGGCGCUCUUCUCUUGCUCAUCAGACUCAUACUGAGGAAACAUGGUGGGAUAUGCAACAUGGGGCAUACCAGGUCUCAACACACAAAGGAAAAACUUACAUGAAGCUGCAAGAUGCUAAAAUUUGACUUAACAGGGCAAAGCUCCCAUGUCUCAUUCUCUAAGAACAUUCUCAGUUCAUCAAGUCGUAUCCUGAGGAAAAGAAAAUGAACAGUCGAAAGGAAGAAAGGGGCAGGGAACGCAUAAACUCAGGAAACAAAAUUAUCAUCAUCAUAAUCACAACUCAUUCAGAUUAGCACAAUAAACUACACACGCUGGCUUCUGUUAGCUCUCCUAUGUUCCUUAAGAAAAAACAAAAUAUGUCAAAUGUUUACUAAGCUAAAUAUUUUUAACACAGUGUAAAAAUGAGGUGAGAA